rnacentral:rRNA from 3 species
AUACUAAGUUUCAACAACGGAUCUCUUGGCUCUCGCAUCGAUGAAGAACGCAGCGAAAUGCGAUAAGUAAUGUGAAUUGCAGAAUUCAGUGAAUCAUCGAAUCUUUGAACGCACCUUGCGCUCCUUGGUAUUCCUUGGAGCAUGCCUGUUUGAGUAUCAUGAA